rfam:Pneumocystis murina B123 supercont1.14, whole genome shotgun sequence.
GCCCUCAUGGUCUAGUUGGUUAUGACACGGGUCUCAUAAUAUGAAUGUUGGCAGAGCAACAGUUAUCCCGGGGUCGUGAGUUCGAGUCUCACUGAGGGCA